AGAUUAGUUUCAGUGAGUUUACACAGUCAGCGUUUUGGCGGUGAGGCUCUGAAGUUGAAUCAAGCCAAGAAAUACAAUUGAUCAUCCUAGUCUGCAAAUUUCAUUUGCAAGUUCAAUUGAAGUGAAGAAGAGAGUGCACCUGAUGUAGUAGCCACUGUAAGAACUGUGUUGGAGAAUGAUCCGAUUGGCCAGUGCAAGAGGGAUUGCAGAGAAGAAGAAACCACAAGCAGAAAAACCAGAUGAGGAAAUUAAGCUAAAUAUUAACUAUCUCAAGAAUAUUCCCAGAAGUGACUGCUAAAUUUAAAUCCCUGCUCACAAUGAAAUACUGUACAGCAGGGGUUCUCAAACUUUUUGGUCUUAGGACCCUUACAGCCUUAAAAAUUAUUGAGAACUCCAAAGAACUUUCAAUUAUGUGGGUCAUAACUACUGAUACUUACUGUAUUAUAACUUGAAACUGAAAAAAUUUUUAAAUAUUUAUAAACAUUUAAAAAUAAUAAACCCAUUGUAAGCUAAUGUAAAUAGCAUGUUUUUAUUAAAAAUCACUUUGUUUUCCAAAGCAAAAAAUGUAGUGAGAAGAGAGGCCUUCUUUUACAUUUUAAUAUCUGGCUUAUGAGAAAAUAGCUGAGUUUCUCAUUUCUGCUUCUCCAUUUAAUCUGUUGGUGUAUAUUUUAUUUAAAGUACAGUUAACCCUUGAAGAACGUGGGUCUGAACUGUGCAGGUCCACUUAUACAUGGAUUUUUUUCUAAUAAAAGUUGCAAAUAUGCCUGUCUCUCCUACCUCCUUAUUCACCGCCUCUACUUCUUCUGCCUCAACCACUCAUGAGUCAGCAAGACCAACCGUUCCUCUUCCUCCUUCUUCUCAAUCUGCUCAGCAUGAAGAUGAUGAGGAUGAAGACGUUUAUGAUGAUCCAUUUUCACCUAAUAAAUAAUAAAUAUAUUUUUCUCUUAUAAUUUUCAUUUAUUUAUGUAUUCGUUGAGACAGAGUCUUGCUCUGUCACCCAGUCUGCAGUGCAGUAGCAUGAUCUCAGCUCACUGCAACCUCUGCCUCUCGGGUACAAGUGAUUCUCAUGUCUCAGCCUCCCGUGUAGCUGGGACUACAGGCACACGCCACCACACCCAGCUAAUUUUUGUAUUUUUAGUAGAGAUGGGUUUUUUCCAUGUUGGCCAGGCUGGUCUCGAACUCCUGGCCUCAAGUGAUCUGCUCACCUAAGCCUCCCAAAGUGCUGGAAUUACAGGUGUGAGCCACUGUACCUGGCCAUGAUUUUCUUAAUAAGAUUUAUUUUCUCUAGCUUGCUUUAUUGUAAGAAUACAGUAUAUAGGACAUAAACAAAAUAUGUGAUUUGACUGUUUAUGUUAUCAGUAAAGCUUCUGGUCAAUAGUAGGCUAUUAGCAGUUAAGUUUUGGGGGAGUCAAAAAAAUUAUAUGUGGAUUUUCAACUGCAAAGAGGCCAGCUCCCCUAACCCCCACAUUGUUCAAGGGUUAACUAUAUAUGAAAAAAAUCCAACCUCACACGGGUAAGUAAUAAAUUGCUUUUUAAAAAUGUGGAUAUUCUUCUUUAUAAUACACCAAGAGUUGAAAAGUGGUAGUGUCUUAAAGAUUGGUUUCAGUAUGGAUUCUGAAACCAUGUCAAUGAACUUCCCAUUUUCUAUGAAAUUAAAAUCCACUGGUCUACCUUGUACUUUGAGUGGAUCUUUUACCCACACAUGAUUUUGUGUUAUACAUUGGUGAUUUGGGCAAUAUUCAUUCACUGAAUUACUCAGAUCCUACAAAUGUUUCAAUAUUUCUUUAUAUAAUACUUUUUAAAAUCAGGAAGUCUUCAAGAUCAUGGUGGUGGAUAUGUUUUCCAGAACUCUAAUUUUAGUUUGAAAGCUCAAGUUUUAUCAUUAGCAUCAAAUGCUGACAGUUGCUUUUCUGGAAGUUACAGGCUCACUUCAUUUAUUUUUGAGAAAAUGUUUGCCAAGUACCUAAGUCUGAAUAACAACAGUUUUCCCGUCAUUCCUUUAAAUAAAAUUGCUUUUCAUGACAAAAGUGACUAGUUUAACUUAACAACUCAACUGAUUCUCCUCAUGAGCUCUUUUUAUCCAUUGUGCUUUCUGUUGCAGAAGUAUUUUAUAAGCACUUUACAUCACACAGAAAAUAUUAAAAAGAUG
rnacentral:lncRNA from 1 species